UGGGGAAUAUUGGACAAUGGGCGCAAGCCUGAUCCAGCAAUGCCGCGUGAGUGAAGAAGGUCUUCGGAUUGUAAAGCUCUUUCGGCGGGGACGAUGAUGACGGUACCCGCAGAAGAAGCCCCGGCUAACUUCGUGCCAGCAGCCGCGGUAAUACGAAGGGGGCUAGCGUUGCUCGGAAUGACUGGGCGUAAAGGGCGCGUAGGCGGCUGUCAUAGUCAGAUGUGAAAUUCCUGGGCUUAACCUGGGGGCUGCAUUUGAUACGUGGCGGCUAGAGUGCGGAAGAGGGUCGUGGAAUUCCCAGUGUAGAGGUGAAAUUCGUAGAUAUUGGGAAGAACACCGGUGGCGAAGGCGGCGACCUGGUCCGUAACUGACGCUGAGGCGCGAAAGUGUGGGGAGCAAACAGGAUUAGAUACCCUGGUAGUCCACGCUGUAAACGAUGUGUGCUGGAUGUUGGGUGACCUAGUCACGCAGUGUCGUAGCUAACGCGGUAAGCACACCGCCUGGGGAGUACGGCCGCAAGG
rnacentral:rRNA from 1 species